GGGGUUGUGGCUCAGCAGUACAGUGCUCGCCUAGCAUGUGCGAGGCACUGGGUUCGAUCCUCAGCACCACA
rnacentral:tRNA from 1 species